rnacentral:rRNA from 1 species
GUCCACGCCGUAACGAUGGAUACUAGCUGUUGGGUGCAAACUCAGUGGCUAAGCGAAGUGAUAAGUAUCCCACCUGGGGAGUACGUUCGCAAGAAUGAACUCAAAGGAAUUGACGGGGCCCGCACAAGCGGUGGAGCAUGUGGUUUAAUUCGAUGAUACGCGAGGAACCUUACCAAGGCUUAAAUGUAGAUUGACAGGACUGGAAACAGUUUUUCUUCGGACAAUUUACAAGGUGCUGCAUGGUUGUCGU